rnacentral:rRNA from 1 species
AGGGGAUGACUUGUGGAUAGGGGUGAAAGGCUAAUCAAGCCUGGUGAUAGCUGGUUCUCCCCGAAAGCUAUUUAGGUAGCGCCUCGGACGAAUACCAUAGGGGGUAGAGCACUGUUUCGGCUAGGGGGUCAUCCCGACUUACCAAACCGAUGCAAACUCCGAAUACCUAUGAGUACUAUCCGGGAGACAGACUGCGGGUGCUAACGUCCGUAGUCAAGAGGAAAACAAUCCAGACCGCCAGCUAAGGCCCCAAAAUCAUAGUUAAGUGGGAAACGAUGUGGGAAGGCAUAGACAGCUAGGAGGUUGGCUUAGAAGCAGCCACCCUUUAAAGAAAGCGUAAUAGCUCACUAGUCGAGUCGGCCUGCGCGGAAGAUGUAACGGGGCUAAAACUAUGUGCCGAAGCUGCGGAUGUAUACUUUGUAUACGUGGUAGGGGAGCGUUCUGUAAGCCGAUGAAGGUGUGUUGAGAAGCAUGCUGGAGGUAUCAGAAGUGCGAAUGCUGACGUGAGUAACGACAAAACGGGUGAAAAACCCGUUCGCCGAAAGACCAAGGGUUCCAGUCCAACGUUAAUCGGGGCUGGGUGAGUCGACCCCUAAGGCGAGGCCGAAAGGCGUAGUCGAUGGGAAAAUGGUUAAUAUUCCAUUACUUCUGUGUAAUGCGAUGAGAGGACGGAGAAGGCUAAAUCAGCCUGGCGUUGGUUGUCCAGGUGAAAGGAUGUAGGCAUGUAUCUUAGGCAAAUCCGGGGUACUCUAUGCUGAGAUCUGAUAGCAAGCUGUACUUGUACAGCGAAGUGGUUGAUGCCAUGCUUCCAGGAAAAGUCUCUAAGCUUCAGUUACACAGGAAUCGUACCCGAAACCGACACAGGUGGUCAGGUCGAGUAGACCAAGGCGCUUGAGAGAACUCUGCUGAAGGAACUAGGCAAAAUGGUACCGUAACUUCGGGAGAAGGUACGCUGUUGUUGGUGAUGGAACUCGCUUCCUGAGCUGACGACAGCCGCAGAAACCAGGCCGCUGCAACUGUUUAUUAAAAACAUAGCACUCUGCAAACACGAAAGUGGACGUAUAGGGUGUGAUGCCUGCCCGGUGCUGGAAGGUUAAUUGAUGGGGUUAGCGUAAGCGAAGCUCUUGAUCGAAGCCCCAGUAAACGGCGGCCGUAACUAUAACGGUCCUAAGGUAGCGAAAUUCCUUGUCGGGUAAGUUCCGACCUGCACGAAUGGCAUAAUGAUGGCGGCGCUGUCUCCAGCAGAGGCUCAGUGAAAUCGAAAUCGCUGUGAAGAUGCAGUGUACCCGCGGCUAGACGGAAAGACCCCGUGAACCUUUACUGCAGCUUGACACUGAACUUUGACCUUACUUGUGUAGGAUAGGUGGGAGGCUUUGAAGCUGGAACGCUAGUUCCAGUGGAGCCGUCCUUGAAAUACCACCCUGGUAAUGUUGAGGUUCUAACUCUGUCCCGUGAUCCGGGACGAGGACCGUGUCUGGUGGGUAGUUUGACUGGGGCGGUCUCCUCCUAAAGAGUAACGGAGGAGUACGAAGGUGCGCUCAGCGUGGUCGGAAAUCACGCGUAGAGUAUAAAGGCAAAAGCGCGCUUAACUGCGAGACCCACAAGUCGAGCAGGUACGAAAGUAGGUCUUAGUGAUCCGGUGGUUCUGUAUGGAAGGGCCAUCGCUCAACGGAUAAAAGGUACUCUGGGGAUAACAGGCUGAUACCGCCCAAGAGUUCAUAUCGACGGCGGUGUUUGGCACCUCGAUGUCGGCUCAUCUCAUCCUGGGGCUGAAGCAGGUCCCAAGGGUAUGGCUGUUCGCCAUUUAAAGAGGUACGCGAGCUGGGUUUAGAACGUCGUGAGACAGUUCGGUCCCUAUCUACCGUGGGCGCUGGAAAUUUGAGAGGAUCUGCUCCUAGUACGAGAGGACCAGAGUGGACGAACCUCUGGUGUACCGGUUGUGACGCCAGUCGCAUCGCCGGGUAGCUAUGUUCGGAAGGGAUAACCGCUGAAAGCAUCUAAGCGGGAAGCCUACCUCAAGAUAAGAUUUCCCUAGGACUUUAUGUCCUCUAAAGAGCCGUUCGAGACUAGGACGUUGAUAGGUUGGAUGUGGAAGCAUAGUGAUAUGUGAAGCUGACCAAUACUAAUUGCUCGUGAGGCUUGACUAUACAACACCCAAGCAGUUG